AGUAUCAUUACUCUAAAGAAUUCAACUCUCAUUCGAAAUGCACUCCUUGCAUAGAUAAGCCAUAUAAGCUUGUUUGGUUCAAGUGCAAAUCCAGUUACCAAGAAGAUUUUACUUGUGUGAAUUUUCUGCCUUUUAUUCAUUCCUUCCAAAUAGUCCUCUCUUCUUUGGAUUAGUUUUAGCUUUGAUAUGCUGGUAGAAAUGCAUGUACAUUUGUUUAGGCCAAUCUCCCUUUACAGAGCAUGCAUAUGGUUUCCUUUUAUCUUCUCUAGCAGUAUAUUUGUUGAUUGAUUUUUAGUAUUUUCUUUUCCAACAACUAUGAACAACUAUGUAGCUAUUAUAAGGAAUUUCCACUCAAUUAAUUCAUUUCGUCAGACUGAUUUUUUUUUAAACACUUCUCUGAACAAGCCACCAAUUAAUAUGCAGAUCAGAAUUGGUCACAAUUUCCUUGGAGCACACCUCUUAUAUUUGGUUAAAGAUCAGUUCACACUGAUGAGCUCCCUGAACUCUUGGGAAUACAGGUUUUGAUUUUAUCUUAUUAGAGAAUAAACUCUAUACAAAUAAUACAUUUAGAUCUGUAAAAUAUAGCAAGAUUAAUGGAGGACAUACUCAUCAUCUCUCCUACGUGGUUUGCAUUUUGAAACGAUCUCUUCUUCACAAGUGGUCUCUGCUUAUUAUCUUUAUUAUUUAGAAAAUAAAUACUAUUCUUAGCAUAGGUAACGCUCAUGGACUUUCCACAUCCUACUAAUAAUACUUCAGAUAGCAGCAUGUAUCAGUAACAUUCAGUAAGCUAAUCAAAAUAUUAGGACAGAAGACAUUGUUUGUUUGGAUCUUUUUUUUUCUUGGAUGGAGAAGAUAGCAUUUUUUUUUAAACUCAUGUCAUUUUAUUCAGAUAUCUGCUCCUUUUCUGUCUGCAGAGUAUAGUCACAUGCUGUCCCUUUCCCACAUCAGAGUCCCCAGUUUGAUAGGUUAAUUUCACCAGAUAUAUGUGAGUGCUGAUGCUAAGCAGGAUUUUUGAUUUUUAUGCUGUUCUGCAGUCUGUACACAAGAUCCUGAGGUACUGAACAUUUCAUUUUAUAUUUCAUAUAUUGCAUUCUGCUCUAAGCACUUGAACUGGUGCAUUGCUCACAUAUUUCACUGUAUGCCAAAGUUUUUCUUUCAUCUAAUGGAUAUGCUAGAUCCCCAGAUUUUCACUUAGCUGAACUGGGAAGAGUUUCACAUAGCACAUCUGAGAACAAUUAACAGCUGUAGCAGCCUCUGAAAUGAGUUGGCAAUAAUAGAGACUUUGAGAAAACUGAAAGAUUUCAUGUAAACUUUAACCAACACAUGUAUGAGUUUCAACAGAUGAGACAUGAAUAACAUAUUUUCAUGGUAACCACUUAUCAUUAAAUCUCUCCCUCAGGCUCCACCUCUGGUGCUUUUUCCCUCAGACAGGCACCUGGCAAGAUCACUAAUUCAGUUCCUCUGCUCACAGUAGCUAUUACUAUUGUAGGAAAACUAUUCCAUAUAUUUUUAACCCUUCUGUCCCUGAACUGAAUCCACAUCUAUAGAUGUUUUGAGCUGCAACUGGGUUUUUCUGCUGCUUGCAAAAAUCACUUGGAAUAUAAACUGGCAAAAAUACUAUCAAACCAAGGUUGCAAACUAACAGUGGGAGAGACCAAGUAUUAAUUGAAGGAGUGAUCAGUAAUGUUUUAAUUGCACAAACAACACUCAUGUUAACUGUGUAAGUUAAACUCAAGUUACUAAGUUACUGUACCACAUCUGAUACCCAGGGUCAUGUAUCUUAUAUUUUGGAUAAUUCCCAUUCUCCCAAUGCUAUUAAAAACACAACUGCUAGAGACUGCAAGAAUAUGCCUGCUUAUCUAGUUUGCUUUAUCCUUUUAUUUAAAAAAAAAAAAAAAAAAAAAAAAAAAAAAAAAAGCAAACAACACUGGUGUAGCGGAAAUCCUAAGUCUAAGUCACAGCCUGAACAAGUAAUUGAGCACCUGGUGGGAAGGCAGGGCCAACCCAGGGGAGCUCAGGUGCAUAAAAUGCCCUGAGUGACCAAAAGGGUGGAGCCAGGAUUGACCUCUUCCCAGACCUUAUUUAAGUGUUGAAAGUGAAGGUGAGAGUAUCUUUUUGGAGAUUUCUGCCUACCAGAGAAUUUUUGUAGUGCUAACUAGCAGCAUCCAUCAGUGGUCUGAGGCUCUCAAGGAUCAAAACUUACCUGAGCUGAGCUAAGAACCUUCCUUUAUGAAAAGUGCCUGCCAGCUCCGUGCAUCUGAAGAUGAACUAGACUUUGAAGAGGAACUACGCUUUAAAAUGGCAUGUGUCUUCCUGGCUACAAAGAGUACUAAAUCUCUAGACUUCUCUUUAGUGAGAAUUGUGCUCACUCCACUAGUGAUGAAAUGUCUUAUCAUCCUCUGGCCAGCACCCUCCACCACUGCCAGCUGUGAUUUAUUUGGUGCUUUAAGUUGCUCUUUCCCACAGUGCUACUCCAAUUAUAUAUAAUGCCCAGAAUUAGGAGCUCCAUAAGAUCCCUCUGAGCACUUUAAGGUAGCUGAAUGGUGAUUUGCUCUACCUCAGCCUGUAAAAAGAAAGAGUAGCUAAAUGACAGAGCCCCUGAUACGUAGCAGAUGUAACUUCAUCUAUAAAUGUUUGUUUUCAGUUGCAGUAGAGGCGUCAGCCAGGUUGUCAGAAUUGUCUUGCACUGCAACUAAAUGUCCGCAUAUGUCAAUAGAUAGCACAUCCUUUUUUUUUUUUUUUUUUGUAUAAACUUAUUACAAAUCUUAGCAGGGCUCAAGAGCAUUAAAAAAAUCUUAAUUAUUAAAUCAUGAAGUAUAUGUAAUCAUUAAGAGGAAUACAAUCACUCAGCCAUAUUAAAUAUAAUUCCAGGGACUAAUAUAACUGAUUCCAAUCUCCGACUAAAAUUCAUCUUAUUUGGUGACCAACAGGAAUUUCUUGCGCAAAAUUGAUGGGAAUAGAUUUCUUAAUAAGAAAGCAGUUCCCAUCUCCUCCCAUUGCCAGUGAGAGCUUUACUUUUUUUCCUUUCUGUCUCUCUCCAUUCCAUGUUCCUCCUUCCCUACUCUUCAGUGUAAACCCUCAAUUUGUCAAAACUUUUCUUCCAAGUAUAAGAUUUUUUUUUUUUUUGUCAGAUAUCUUUGCUUAUCACAGUCAUGAACUUGUGAAAUGUGACUGUCAGAACCAUUGGGAGAGUUAACAACAGGUUGUAGCACAAUGAUAAACUCUCAUAAGUAAAAUAUCCCACAAAUGGAGUGCAUCACAUAGUCACAAGUGGUGAAGCUCUAGAUUCACCUAUAAGAACUGUAUUGUUUCACCUGGGAAUUUCCAAUGAGAGUUUAUAUCUGGCUCAGGUUUAAAAUGCUGGAUGUAAUUAAGUUUAGGAGAGAGAUCACUGAUAUUUAGAGUUAUAUCAGAUAAUUAUUUUGCCUCUUCAGUGUUUAAGAGUCUCCUAAAUUUCCAGAAAAUGCGUAAGUAUUUCAGUGGGAAACUGAAGACCCUUUUUAAAAAUAAAUAAAUAAAUAAAAAUUGUUUAAACUUCAGUAUUAAGAGUCAUGUUUUCUGGUGGGCUUCAUUGUGUUUAACAGAGCUAUGCCAGCAUAUAUGAAUAAAAUUCUUUUUUCUGGCUAGCUAGUAAUAGGAAGAUUGUAGCAUACAAAACAGGAUCCUGAGUUACAGGGUAGGAAUACACUAUGAAGAAAUGGAGGAGGGGAAAAAAAAAAAAAAGG